AAAACAUCAGCAACCAUUUCUUUUGUUGAUAGAUACUUCAAGGAUAUUUCAUUAUUGUCAAUUUUCUGUUUAAUAAAUUUAGCUUUAAUGUCCACAUGUUUGGUCCUUGACGAGUAUUUAUUAUUUGUGGCCACUUGUAUAGCUCCUUUGUUAUCACAGUACAGAACCAUGUUGACUUUGCUGUUUGGAUUGAGUUCUUUUUCGAGUCGUUUUAACCAAACAGAUUCCUGUAUAGCUGCUGUAAUUGCCAUGAACUCAGCUUCCGUUGAAGAUAGUGCCACCGUUUUUUGCCUUUUUGUAGACCACGAUAUUGCUGCUGAUUGAAAAAUGAAUACGUAGCCAGUUGUCGAAUGACGGUCGUCCAAAUUUCCAGCCCAAUCUGCAUCGCAAUAUCCACUUCCCAAUGCGCUCUGCCAGGAUUAAUUCCAAAUCUGCUCAGCAUAUUCACAGCGUAGUAUAUAUCAGGGCGCGAAACCUGUGCAGCGUACAACAAGCACCCAAUAGCUUCCAUAUAAGGAGUAUUCGACAUUUUUUCCUUUUCAGCCUCGGUUUUAGGGGACAUAAUUUCGGACAACUUCUGAUUAUAGUCCAUCGGUGUUGACGAAGGGUUACACUCAUUCAUUCCGAAACGUGUCAGAACAUCUGAUAUAUACUUAGACUGAUCAAUUUUGAUUCCUUCUCCAAAUCGUGAUAUUGUCAUACCAAGCACAGUACAUACUUCCCCCAUGUCUUUCAUUUUAAAUUUAUUCGAAAGAGCGUCCUUAACAGAAUUUAUUUCAUUAACAUCAUUGGAAAAUAUAAGAACGUCGUCGACGUAUAUUGCAAUAUAAAUCUUCUUUUCUUCCGUCAUCUUAGAGUAUACGCAUUGAUCCACUUCACCUCGUACAAAACCCAUAUCGACAAGUUCCUUGUUUAUAGUCUCAUUCCAUACUCUACCAGAUUGUUUCAAGCCGUAUAUGGAUCUAUUAAGCUUACAUACUUUAUUAGAACCAUCACGGAAGCCUUCGGGUUGUUCCAUGUAUAUGAUUUCUUUUAAAAUCCCAUUUAAGUAAGCGCUAACAGCAUCCAUCUGAUGAAUCUUCAUAUCAUAUUUUACUGCCAACGCUGUUAAAUAUCGUAUUGAUUCAUACCGAACAACUGGAGAGAAUGUUUCCAUAUAAUCGAUACCUUCAGUCUGUGUGAAGCCCUUUGCGACUAAUCUUGCUUUCCAUCGCAACGUGUUUCCAUUGGAAUCCAGCUUUGACUUAAAAACCCAUUUUGAUUUCACAGCUUUGCAUCCUUCAGGAAGUUCAACCAAAGUCCAAGUAUUAUUGACUUUCAAUGAAUUAAUUUCUUCUUUCAUAGCUAUUUUCCAAUUUUCAGAAUCUUUAGAUGACAUUGCCUGUUUUAUAUUCUGAGGGUCUGAAGAAACAUACUCUAUUGCAGAAAACGCCGUUGAUGAUUGAUUUCGGUUUGCAAUCCUUUCUGAUCUUCGAAUAUUAUCAGAUAUUUGUAUUGGUCGGUUUGGUUCCCACUCUUCAUCAUUUGUGUCCACGUAGCCGUUGUUCUCUUGGCAUUCUGAGUCCAAAAACUCACUAUCAGUCUCAGAAUCACUACGAGGCUCAUUUUGAAUUUCAUUAUUGCCAUUCAAUUCGCUUGACUCCAUAUUCGUUGAUACAGUAUUUACUGUUUGGUCCAA